UUUUGCGUUUGGAUUGUUAUCCACAAUCGCGUUACCUACUGCGUGCAAAAGGUGGGUUUUACCUAAGCCCGUGCCACCGUA
rfam:Vibrio sp. AND4 1103602000603, whole genome shotgun sequence.